rnacentral:rRNA from 1 species
AGUGAACGCUGGCGGUAGGCCUAACACAUGCAAGUCGAACGGCAGCACAGUAAGAGCUUGCUCUUACGGGUGGCGAGUGGCGGACGGGUGAGGAAUACAUCGGAAUCUACUUUUUCGUGGGGGAUAACGUAGGGAAACUUACGCUAAUACCGCAUACGACCUACGGGUGAAAGCAGGGGAUCUUCGGACCUUGCGCGAUUGAAUGAGCCGAUGUCGGAUUAGCUAGUUGGCGGGGUAAAGGCCCACCAAGGCGACGAUCCGUAGCUGGUCUGAGAGGAUGAUCGGCCACACUGGAACUGAGACACGGUCCAGACUCCUACGGGAGGCAGCAGUGGGGAAUAUUGGACAAUGGGCGCAAGCCUGAUCCAGCCAUACCGCGUGGGUGAAGAAGGCCUUCGGGUUGUAAAGCCCUUUUGUUGGGAAAGAAAAGCAGCAGGUUAAUACCCCGCUGUUCUGACGGUACCCAAAGAAUAAGCGCCGGCUAACUUCGUG